rnacentral:rRNA from 1 species
GUGGGGAAUAUUGGACAAUGGGCGAAAGCCUGAUCCAGCAAUGCCGCGUGAGUGAAGAAGGCCUUAGGGUUGUAAAGCUCUUUUACCCGGGAUGAUAAUGACAGUACCGGGAGAAUAAGCUCCGGCUAACUCCAUGCCAGCAGCCGCGGUAAUACGGAGGGAGCUAGCGUUGUUCGGAAUCACUGGGCGUAAAGCGCACGUAGGCGGCUUUGUAAGUUAGAGGUGAAAGCCCGGGGCUCAACUCCGGCACUGCCUUUAAGACUGCAUCGCUCGAAGCUGGGAGAGGUGAGGAGAAUUCGGAGUGUAGAGGGGAAAUUCGUAGAUAGUCGGAAGAACGCCAGUGGCGCAGGCGGCUCACUGGACCAGAAUUGACGCUGAGGUGCGAAAGCGUGGGGAGCAAACAGGAUUAGAAACCCCUGUAGUCC